AAACAGAAGAAUCCAGAGGGGAGGGACCCUAGAUACAGACACCCCAAAGAUGGAACUUGAAGUGAUCUUCCUUCGAAGCAUGGUGGCUGGGGUCACUCUGAGUAGCAUAUUUCUGGCUGUCCUGGGACUCACUUUGGAGCCAAGUUUUUGGCCUUGGAACCUACAGAGAUCCUCCAGCCUUGGCUGAAAGGCUGGGAUUAAAGCCACCACACUCUGUUCAUUGCCGUUUCCAAAAGAAAGUAAUCUAUAGGUGUGGUGAGGGUGGUGCAGAGACCAGUCGGUACCCACAGGGCUGAUCCCUCCCGCCCUGCACAGAAGGGCAGUUCUGGGCUUUUGUGUAUCUGAGUGACCUUGGCCUACAGCUGCCCUGCAGGUUGAUGUAAGGGACCAUGGCCAGGACUGCCUCUUUCCCCUGAACAGCCCCUACUUAAUCCAGGGCUCUUUUCUUUGCAAAGACACCUUCCUCAAACUGGUUGGCAGCCUGGAAGCUGCCCUGUGAGCCUCCCUAAGAAGAAACAACAUAAAAUUUACAAAAAAAAAAAAAAAAAAAAAAAAAAAAAGACAAAAACUUUUCCUGUCAACGUAACUAGCUAGGGUAAUAAGAAAUGCCGGUUAGGUUACACACACUGAAUUCACCUUAGUGUAAGCAGGCUUUGGCUACGGAAUCAAUUCCUACAGAGCACAGUAGAGACCCAAGGGCCCAGCCACCCUUAUCGUCCACUGCCCUCCUCCCCAUAGCUCCAUGUCCGCUCUCUUUUCCCUGACAUCCCGAGGGUCUCGGGAUCACGAGAUGUUGCAUCUAGCCCGAGUGUGCCCAUGCCGUUUUCCACCCAUGAGCUUCGCCCACGCCACGAACACAGCAUGGUCUCCCUGUUGUGCAAUGAGCACCCGGAUUCCUCAAGCGGUCGCUGGGCUUAAUGGCCCAGCCGCAGCCCUUCCCAACCCGGAGGCAGUGUCAAGGAUUGGAUCUGGACUCUGCUGGUGUGGAGCAGUUCUGUCAUUUCUCCAGCAGAGGGCGCAUUCUGCAUUCUUCAGAACUCAAGAAGCUCAAGUGUAGCAGACCUGAGAAACAGGGCUACCCUUUGAAGAGGAGAGAUGCAGUCUUUCUUUCUUUCUUUUUUUUUUUUUUUAAAGAUUUAUUUAUUUAUUAUAUGUAAGUACACUGUAGCUGUCUUCAGACACUCCAGAAGAGGGUGCCAGAUCUCGUUACGGAUGGUUGUGAGCCACCAUGUGGUUGCUGGGAUUUGAACUCCGGACCUUCGGAAGAGCAGUCGGGUGCUCCUACCCACUGAGCCAUCUCACCAGCCCCGAGAUGCAGUCUUUCAGUUCAAUAAUUAAAGGUCUAUUUAAAAAGCCAUGUUCGUUUUAGCUUUAUUAUUUCUGUGCUUUUGUGUGGAUUCAGACAUGUGUGCUACACUCCUAGCCCAAACUUCCAAUUUUUCUUUUUUUGACUUGUCAAGCCAGGGUUUCUUUAGUUCCAUCUUAGAACUGGACCUGUAGGCCAAGCUGGCCUCAAACUCAGAGAUCCACUUGCCUCUGCCCUCUCUAGUGCUCGGAUUAAAGUCCUGUGCUACCACCAGCCAGC
rnacentral:lncRNA from 1 species